GCCGGUGUGGCGGAAUUGGCAGACGCGAGCGAUUCAAAAUCGCUUGGCCGCAAGGCCGUGUGGGUUCGAGUCCCACCUCCGGUA
rnacentral:tRNA from 1 species